UCUAUAAAGAUGGAGCCCACAAGUGGAGAAGCUCCACAGGAAAUCUGAUCAUCAAAACAGUCUCUAUGCUUGAUCAAGGAUUCUACAAAUGUCACAUCUCUGGAGUUGGAGAAUCACCUCAGAGCUGGCUGACUGUUGGAGUUUCAGGUUUUUCUACCAUCGAUACAGAAGAUACAGAAGAUCACGUAGAUUCUAACCCUGAUUCCUCAUCCACCAUAAGUACACCAUGGAUCAUCAUCGCUGUCUUGUUGACACUUUUCUUGUUGGUCAUGGGACUACUAAUCUGCUUUGGCAGAUUUGCCUGUAGAAGAGGCUCUGUACAGGCCAAUGCAGCUGCACCAAGCCAACCAAUAUAUGCUACUGUAUCAACGACCAGGAAGAAGACCGGUAUUUCCUCUACCCUUAUAGACCACAGUUAACAUGCUACUCAGCAUUUACAUUGGUUGACA